rnacentral:rRNA from 1 species
CCAGACUCCUACGGGAGGCAGCAGUGAGGAAUAUUGGUCAAUGGGCGAGAGCCUGAACCAGCCAAGUCGCGUGAAGGAUGACGGCCCUAUGGAUUGUAAACCUCUUUUGUCGGGGAGCAAAAGACGCCACGCGUGGCGUUCCGAGAGUACCCGAAGAAAAAGCAUCGGCUAACUCCGUGCCAGCAGCCGCGGUAAUACGGAGGAUGCGAGCGUUAUCCGGAUUUAUUGGGUUUAAAGGGUGCGCAGGCGGAAGAUAAAGUAAGGGGUAAAAUUGGGAGGCCCACCCUCUGCGAGCCGUUGAAACUGGUUUUCUUGAGUGAGUGAGAGGUAUGCGGAAUGCGUGGUGUAGCGGUGAAAUGCAUAGAUAUCACGCAGAACUCCGAUUGCGAAGGCAGCAUACCGGCGCUCAACUGACGCUCAUGCACGAAAGUGUGGGUAUCGAACAGGAUUAGAUACCCGUGUAA